rnacentral:rRNA from 1 species
GAUGAACGCUAGCGGCAGGCUUAACACAUGCAAGUCGAGGGGCAGCAUAGUGGAUAGCAAUAUCUAUGGUGGCGACCGGCGCACGGGUGCGUAACGCGUAUGCAACCUACCUUUAACAGGGGGAUAACACUGAGAAAUUGGUACUAAUACCCCAUAAUAUCAUAGAAGGCAUCUUUUAUGGUUGAAAAUUCCGAUGGUUAGAGAUGGGCAUGCGUUGUAUUAGCUAGUUGGUGGGGUAACGGCUCACCAAGGCGACGAUACAUAGGGGACUGAGAGGUUAACCCCCACACUGGUACUGAGACACGGACCAGACUCCUACGGAGGCAGCAGUGAGGAAUAUUGGUCAAUGGACGCAAGUCUGAACCAGCCAUGCCGCGUGCAGGAUGACGGCUCUAUGAGUUGUAAACUGCUUUUGUACUAGGGUAAACUCACCUACGUGUAGGUGACUGAAAGUAUAGUACGAAUAAGGAUCGGCUAACUCCGUGCCAG